GGCCGCUGGCUCGGUAGUCGCAGCGCUCCCUUUCCCGCCCCCCGGAGGCCAUUACCUCAUGGCCCAGCCCUGCCGCGGAGGAGGGGCCGAGCGUCGCCCGGCAACCGGCCCCCUGCCGCGGGACGGGCUGGACAAGCUGCGGACGAGGAUGUCCGCGGACGGCGGGAGAGGUUUGUCGCCGUGCGGAGCAGCCCGAGCGCGGCCGCGGGCAGCGCUGCCCGCCACUGCUCCCACAGCUCCCGGGACAACCGACCUGGGCUGGUUUGGCAGGCGGAGAGGGCAAGAAUGAUUACAGGAUGUAUUAAACAGCAGAAAAUCCUCAAAGGAAAUAUUUGCUAUGAAUGUGCCAUAUACAGAGAAAUGUCUCAAGUCCAAGUACUAUUCCACUCUUUCUGGUGGUGCCUCGCUACAGGACAAGGAGCAAUGGCCAUAAACUAAAUCACAGGAAGUUUCAACUGAACAUGAGGAGGAAUUUCUUUACAUUGAGGGUGACAGAGCACUGAACAGGCUGCCCAGGGAGGUCGUGGAAUCUCCCUCUCUGGAGACAUUCAAAACCCUCCUGUGUAACCUGCUCUCGCUCACCCUGCCUUGGCAGGGGGGUUGGACAAGAUGAUCUACAGAGGUCACAGAACUAUCUCUUGGAGGAAGGUUUGACUGUUUUUGUCUGCUGGCAAGGGAGGAACAGAACUGCGUUCAAGGUUACAGCUGGUAAGAAAAAAAAAUGUUGCAGUCAUGCUGGUGGUGACAGGAUUCCAGAAGCAUGGAAUAACCUCCAGAGAGUGUAAAUUAAUUCAGGGCUUGACCCCGGAUAACCCAUAAAAAUAAAUGAUCCAACCCUUCACAGAUGCAAACAAAGAGAAUCCCAGAUGGGGAUGUAAGCUUUUGGGUGACAGAAAAGAGGAGAAAUAUUGCAAGGGCAACAGGAUUCUCAGGCAGCCGCCUUUUGAGCAGGCGUGUCUACAGAGCAAAUCCCCUGCUAGUGAUUUAAAUGGGGCAUGUGCGUCAACCUAAAAGCUUGGUGCUGCUGCCAAAAGGAACAGGCUGCUCUCCCCACUGCUCUUGUGGAGGGCCCAGGCACUCCUAGUUUUCCCAAGGACUGGUUCUGCUGCUUAGGAUUCCUCAGUGAGCGACUCAGUUUACUAACCUCACACAGAACUUUUUUUUUCCUUGUUGGUUUUCUGCCCCGUUACUAAACUGAACUGAUUCACCCUAACAUCACAGAAAUAUGUAGUGAGCACAAAAGAUGAGUUGAAACCAUUAGUCUGGGAAGAAAGGGAUCCACCCCUCUGGAAACCUUGCACUCUUAAAUCACCUCAGUAGUCUCAUCUAAAUCCUCCCUAAAAUAGAAAGUUCAUGUUACUGCUAAGAAGUCUAACAAAAAGGUUGGUGCCUUCCACUUCUCACCCUUAGCUGAGUCGUCCCAUUGCUCCCUUUGUGCUAAAUCUUGAAUACAUGUGACCCUUGCCAGUGAGCACGCCAAAUCAGGAGGCUUUUAAAAAGGGUUCUUUUCUGAUUAAUACUGAAACAGCUAACUCUGAAGUCAGAUGAGUGACAGAGGUUGCACAAGAGAGGAAACAAGACUGGAAGGUUGCAAAAGAUGGAUGGAGCCCCAAAGCAGCAGCUGGGAACUUGUUAUAAUGUGUAACAUAAGGCCGAGACAGCAGUGAGGACUAAUGGUCUGUACAGUGAAGGAGAAGUAAUUUUGAGGAACAAAAGUUUGCUCUGUGCUUUACAUACUAUAAAUGAGAAGCAGAGGGGUAAAAAAAAAAAAAAAAAAAAAAAAAAAGCAGAGGAAGACACAGAACAGAAGCACCUUGGAAUCCAGCCCAGGAAGAAAAUCAAAUGCUGAGGGGAAAAAAAAAAAAAAGAGAAGGCAGAGGGAAAACCAGGAAGUAGAAAAGUGAAUAUCUGCACCAAACACAGCAAGAAACAAGUGUGCAUGAUUGUAGGUUUCUUAUUGAGAAGAACCAAUUGACCUGUCACGUCUGUAAGGAACAAGGAUUUGAGAUGUACUGCUGAGACUGAAAAGACUCUUGUUAAAGUGAGCAGAAGUCCUUCACAGUGGGAGAAAUGGCAAUGACACACACUAUUUACACUCAAACACAGUAUGUAGAAAAGAGAACUUGGGGCUACGGGAUUGCCAGGCCCUUGCAUGCUAGGUGUGCAUCUCUUCACUGGUCUUAUGACAUGUAGCAAUUGUUUGGUAGUGCUGCGCCAAAUCCUCCUCAUGAUUUUUUGGUCAUGUGGUGCUAUAGUGCAUGUAAGUAUACUCCUUUGCAUUUCUAUCACCAGCUCAGUUUAUCCACCUAAUAAUUCCAAAGCUGGGAAUUGAUGCAAAAACCAACUACUUGCAAAAAGUUUCCUAGAUUUCUCUGCUCUCCUUCUGUUUUCAUUAUCUUUUCCAUUUCCUCUCUCUUCUUGAUUUUAUCAUAUAUGAUAUUAUCAUCACAUUAUAUUUUCAUAUUAAUUCUCAAUUUUGCUUCCUUGAUUACAUCUCUAGAAGAGACUUUAUUUCCACCCUGCUAAAAUACAGGACCUUUCAAAAGUACUUUUCAGCUAGCAUGCUGUUGUUUUUCUUGUAAUCCUCACCAUUGGCUGUCUGUAGAACCUCCUUUAUAGGCCCUGUAGAGUAAUCAAAGAAUACAAUAAAAGCUUUAAAAGCAUUUGAAACCAGUUUAAGAAAUCUCUGAUUAGUUUGCCAGCUGAAGACUCCAAUUGCAGCUGCAAUUGUGGGGUAAACUAUUUUAAUCUCAGAGAACAAACUAAUUCCAGUGGGCAUUAACAAGUGUUUGGAGAGAAAAAAAAAUGUCUAAAACAUACCCUGUGUUUCUGAAUAGCUGCUAUGGAGUUAAGAAGAAAGGAGUUGCAGUGCUUUCUCUUUUUGUUCUUCCUGCUGGUAUCUGGUGUUGCUGGCCCCAUUUCUCACACUUUUAUAUCAGAGUGAACUAAGUAAUGCUGCAAAUUCUUUAAAAAUAUCUAUGAAGUGUCUGCAUAACACUUGCCUGUACAACAUUGUUUCUUGUUUAAAUUGUGUUUUUUGUAAAGCUGUCAUUGCUUUUACCUGAAUCUGUAUCAAAACACAGAUCCUUGCAAGUUGUCUCACAGAGCAUGGGAAAAUUAAAAAUGUAAGUACUUUUGACUGAUUUUUUUCUUUGUUGAUGUUUGGGGGUUUUGUUUGUUUUGAAGGGGGUUUUUCUGUUUAUUUAUUUGUUCCAUUUUACAGGACGUUAUUCAAUGCUACCUUUGCUGGAAGAAUCAAAUCGGCAGAAAAGUUUUUCUUGUUCAGAGCUUUGUGCUUCUUUCAGCUAGCAUCAGGCAGCACCAAUGCCUUCCCCUUCUUCAACUGCAUCUCUGCUGGAAAUGUCUUUCCUGUAUGGGGGCUGCAUCUUUCAGGAGCAGUACCAAAUUAUGGAAUUUGCCUGAAGUGUAAUUGUGACUAUGAUCGAAGGAGAGCUGAUGCUGAUUUGAGCAAAAACACAUGGAAAAUGAGGGGCUAAAUAAAAAUAAAAUUAAAAAAUAACUUUAUGGACCAGCUAAAGCAUAAACACAAGCUGAGGAGAGAAAUAAAAUGAAGAUUUAAAGAUUUUAAGGAGAAAACUCAUAAAAAUUUUCUUCAUAGUGGAUCAUAAAUAAUAAUUAUGGCAAAAGAAGCAUUAUUCCAGACCUUUCAGCUUGAGGGAAAAAAAAAAAAACAAAUGGAGGCAAACAGUGACUCAGAGGAUGGGGUUUUGCACAUACUUUGCAUUAAUGAGAUGCAAGUUGGAAUAAAUAGUUUGUAAAGCUCAGAUUAGCAUUAAAAGUGAAGUCAAGUACACAAACAAAGAGGAAAUGAAAUGCUAGAUAGUGGGAUAAUGAUAAAUGUGCCAGGCAUGCAUUUUGCAAGAAAACUAAAAAAACAUGUAAUCAAGCAAAGUCAAAUGAAAAUUACACCAUGGAAUGAUGAUAAUACUUCUGACAUUGUGAAUUUUAAUCAGAAAGCAAAAGAUAUUCAGAAUAUGCAACAUAAAAGCCACUGCUUGCUGCUGGAACAGUCAAUUUGUAUAUGUGAUAAAGAAGCUCGACUCUUGUGUGAGUACAAACUGCUGGAUAUAAUUGACAACAACAGGAUGUUCUCCUGCCAUAUUAUAGCUAGAACAGAUGAAAAUAAUUCAACCAGCAUAGCAUGCUUUACACACGGUCUACUGCAUUAGAACAAGGAAUGAUUUGAUUAUUGAAAUACACACAAAAAUAAAUAAUUUUACAUAAUCUCAAAAUUACAUAAGCAGAAUGGUAGUCACUGAAAAAGCAAAAUAUUGACAAGGCCUAUUCAGCUUCUCUGUCUCAGCAACACAGACAUCAUCAUAUUUUGGAAGCCAUCAAGUAGGCUUAGGUGUUGAGAAUGCUGUUAGUAGUGAGCCUUACAGCAGAAGAGUAUCAGCUCUGCCAGCCAGGCUCACAAUGCCAGUAUCAGAGCUGAUUAUACUCAGGAAUGUGAUAUGAGAAAUGCCUGGCAGAAACUGUGGUAAUCCAUUACAAUUAACCUCAUCUCCAUAGCAGUUAAUACAAACAAACAAAUAAACAAACAAAAAGGAAGUUGGUCAUAUACAGAACAGUUGCUGAUUUCCCAGGGAAAACCAAUUAUUUUGGGAAGGUAAAAAUACCCUGUAAUAUGCCAGCUUUCAAAGAUAUUAACUCAGAGAGUAUUAAAAUUUUCAGCAUAUCUCACCACAUCUCUUUCCAACCUUAGGCAUAUGCAAAGCAUUGAGACCAUAAGAGAGGAAGAGGAAACACAAGCAUGGCAUACAUGUAGUAUUGGUGACCUUGCAAGUUGAUCCAGUGAGCUGAGGUUUGGAGCCUUGUUAUCUUACAAGAAACCACUAGUAAUUUUUUGCCUCACAGUGAGGCAAAACUUUGAACCACCACCUCGCCAGUAAGACAAAUUUUGAAACAUUAUUGCAAAACACAAACUGUUUUGUAAUAAUGUUUCAGACGUGUAGAGGAUAACUCUUUGUUUGAGGAAAAAAAAAUUUCAAGCAAGAAUCCCAGAAAGCACCUAAGAAUUUGAAAAGUCAUUGCUAUUUUCAAAUAUUAGAAAUAUAUGAUACUAAAACAGUAACACUUGAAGUUAUUUCAUGAAUUUGAGAUGGACCAGUAAUUACAAUGGAGUUGUACCAGAAAACCAAGAUAACAAAAUCAUAAUAUCAUAUCAAAAUUAUAAUAUCAUAAUCACAUAAUAAUGUUAGCACAGAAAUACAAAAAUAAAGAACAAAGUUUCACUCAAACAAUGAAAAUAUGUGCCAAUUUUAAGAGGAUGUUGGAAAAUAAACUGAAAAAUAAGAA